UAAUAAGUCCAACAAAGUUCUGAUUUUUCUCAUGAUGACUACUUAUGUUGUUUUAAGGAAUCAGAUUACAUGAGUAAACAUCUCUGGAGGUGUACCUGCUCUGCUGGUGCUCUAACUGCAUACCCGUCUGCCUCUUGGGUAACCUGCUGUGAGGGAAGGAGGAAGCCUGCACGUGUCACCCGUGGCCAGAAUUCCUGGCUCUCCCUCUUCAUGGUUGUUGACAAUAACCAAGCAAUAUUUAUAGGAUCUCACUCUGUCACCCAGGCUGGGGCACAAUCACAGCUUACUGCAGUCUUGACCUUCUGGGCCUACACAAUCCUUCUGCCUCAGCCUCCCAUGCAGCUGGAAUUACAGUGUAGGUGGGGCCUCACCACCUUGCUCUGGCUGGUCUUCCAUUUCUGGGCUCAAGCAAUCCGCCUGUGAGCCACCAGGCCUAGCUGAAGUAAAGACCUGAAUGAAGAGCAUGAGCUGUGUGGCUGUCCAGGAAAGAUGGGCCAGGCGGUCUUCAGUGAGUGCAGAGGCCCUGAGAAGGAAGCAUUCUCAGGGACAGCAGGGAGUCAGCAUGGGGGAGGUCAUGUGAGUCAGGGGAGUAAUAGGAAAUGAAGUCAGAGGUAACAGAAUGCCAGAUUAAUUCUGGGAUCUUAGGAACUGAUUUUGACAAUAUUUAGUAAAUUUCCCUAGAAAAUCUCACUCAAUUUCUAUUGCUUUAAGACGUACUUUUGAGAGAACUUUAGGUCCCAGCCUUGAGUGGGCCCCAGGAGUUCAUGAAGGUGUGUCCCAAUCCUGAAGGGUACAGAAGUUCCCUCCACAAAGUGGCUGAUCAGUGUGUCAAGAUGCUUGUUUUCCCAAAGCAACGGAGUACAGACCAGUAUGAAAAGACAGGUAUGGAAGGAAAUAGGUUUCUUUGGCCACCUUUUAUGUAUAAAUGUGCCCUACUCUAUCCUCCCCCAACCCAUGCCCAACUCCUAUCCUCAUCUUCUUCAUUAAAUUCCAAGUGAAUUGCCCAGGCAAUGUCUGCUUCAUUUUUUCUGUUUUACAAAUUUCAUUGUUUACACCUCUGGGAAAAAUGAACCCCACCCUUAUGAGUUAUGAGCUGUGGCUCAGACCUUCAGUUCUUUUUAUCGUCAAGCUUUUGGGUCUUGGCCCACCUACAAGCACCUGUAAUGGGGAAAAAAAGUCAUUAAUACAUUAAAGGACUUUUUGUUAUCCUGGAAGGUUACUGAACUUAUAUUCAAACAAAUAGAAAUCUUCAAAGUAUAAUAGUUGCCACUGUGAAAAGCAGAUUACUAGGCUGAAUAGAUCAUUGGUCUAAGAAAGUUGUGGGAAAAAAUCAUGUCCUUUGCAGCGACACAGAUGCAGCUGGAGGUUAUUAUCCUAAGUCAAUUAGUGCAGGAAGAGAAAACCAAAUGCUGUGUGUUAUCACUUCUAAGUGGGAGCUAAACACUGGGCCACAUGGACAUAAAGAUGGGAACAGUAGACACUGGGGACUACAGAAGGGGUAGCGAGGGAGGGGAGCAAAGACUGGAAAACUAGCUCCUGGUACUAUGCUCACUGCCUGGGUGACAGGCUCCAGCAUACUCCAAACCUCAACAUCAUGCAAUACACUCUUGUCACAAAAGUGCACACAUACCCCCUGAAUCUAGUACUUCACUAUGUUGUCUUGGAACCUGGAGCUAGGUCCUGCAAAAUGCAUGGGACUGUAAAGAUGCAGUUCUGAACUAUAAGAAGCUAUAUUCUAAAAUAAAAUGUCUUAGACCUCUGAGAAUGUAGGGAUAUUUGUGAAGAUUAACGUUUUCCUGUUGGCAUAUGAUAUUUUCCAGCAGAACAACAACAAGUUCACUGUAGGUGAACUUGCCAACCUCUCUAGAGCAGGCCCCUCUGCUCCACUCAGAAAAAUGUAAUCACAUGCGGGUUACUUCAAGAUCCUAGCUGCUUCUGCUACUAGGAUCUGACAGUUCUUUGGGAUAAGGACAUUUUUUUGCUGUUAUUGAUCUCUAAACUCUUAGACUAUAAGAGCUAGAAGUGACCUUUAAGGUCAUGUAGUCCAACAGUUCCUUUUAUACUUAAAGCAAGUCUGUAACAUCCGUGCCAAGGGCUCCAGCAAUUUUGGUCAAACCCCUCCAUCUAGUGUUUACACUCAGGAAUAAUAUUAGGUGAGAACAAAGACCCUGAUUCCAUUUACUGAGGAAGGCCUUUGUGCAGGAGGUAAGUUUUGGUGUGGUUAAUAUAUUCAAUUUAAAUGUAAUUUCAGUUCAAUUAAAAAAGAUGAAAAGGAAACUUGGCUAAUGCUUUUUUUUUUUUUUUUUUGGCCAAAUGAAACAAUAUUGUGGAUGAAUAAUCAAGAAUAUUUCUUUGGAAUACAGAUAAAUGGAAAACACUAAUCCUAAAUAUCCAUCAUAUUUCCCAUCCUAAUUUUAAAAAUCCCAAAUGCCAGACCACAAUAGCAAAAUGCUUAAUAGUGCUGCCCACCCCAGUAAGCCAUCAUGCCUUGUCUCCACCAACACAAACAGAUUUUAUGGCCCAGUCUUUACAUGAAUCACUUUGUGAAAAUGAUAGCAAAUGUAAUAACCCCAGACAGCUGCAAUUAUCUAAAUGUCUCCCUAUUAGCCAUUUGAAUGGCUGAAGCCUUAUAAUCAAAUUAGAGUGAAUGCUAAUUGAAAUCUAAUAGAGCUUACAUCCAUGUGAUUAGAUAUCAGAAUUUGAUUCCAAUAUUGUUAAAUUACAGACAGGACGCAUCAAGUCACACUAAAAUGCGGUAACCUCAAUGACAAAAGGAGAUGGAUUCUUUCAAUAAAGAGAUCAAGCUGGAACCGGUUUUUAUUGUGUUACCGCCACCUACUGGUACUUAGUGGAACAACAGAGACACUUUUUCCUUUGACGUGAGCACAACCAUUUUGUUCUUUUUCUUUUAUUUCUUUGUUGAGACAGUACAAUUACUGGAUUACAAUCACUUUCAAGACAAUUUGUCUAAAUACAUAUUUACAAAUUUAUGAGAUUUAGACAAAUUGUCUUGAAAGUGAUUGUGCUAAUUUACACUCUUUUUUUUUAGACUGAGUCUGGCUCUGUCGCCCAGGCUGGAGUGCAGUGGCACGAUCUCAGCUCACUGCAACCUCUGACUCCUGGGUUCAAGUGAUUCACCUGCCUCAGCCUCCUGAGUAGCUGGGAUUACAGGCGUACACCAUCACACCCAGCUGAUUUUUGUAUUUUUAGUAGAGAUGGGGUUUCGCCAUAUUGGUCAGGCUAGUCUUGAACUCCUGACCUGUGAUCUGCCCACCUUGGCCUCCCAAAGUGCUGGGAUUACAGGCAUGAGCCAACACCCCCAGACUAGCUAAUUUACAUUCUUCAAUAUCAUUUCUGUUUACAGAUUUUUAACGAAGUGGUAACUGUUUUCAUAGAGAAGCUUUACUUUUUGUUGUCGUUUUAAAAUAAUUUCAACUUUUAUUUUAGAUUCAGGGAGUGCAUGUGCAGGUUUGUUACAUGGGUACAUUGCUUGAUGUUGAGGUGUGGGGUACAAAUGAUCUUGUCACCCCAGAUAGUGAGUAUAGUACCCAAUAGGUCCGUUUUUCUAUUCUUGCCCCCUUCCCAACUCACUGCUCCAGUAGUACCAUGUCUGUUGUUUCCAUCUUCAUGUCCAUGAGUUGCUGAUGUUUAACUCCCAUUUAUAAGUGAGAACAUGGCAUAUUUGGUUUUCUGUUCCUGUGUUAGUUCGGAGAAGCUGUACAUUUUAAUGUAGUUUAAUUUAAUACUUGUGUUUGUUUUAUGCCUUUCAUCUUGUGUCCAGAGGCCAUAGAGAAUCUCCUAAAUUGUCUUCUAAUUACUUGAAAUUUUCAUUUUUCCCAAUUAGGUCUUUAAACAUCUAAAAUUAAUCUCAGCAUAGUAGUGCUUUUUUCUGACCCAGCCUUGCUAAAGAGAUAGGGCUCUUGACAACUUUAAAGAACCUAGGUGGUCUCCUAAAAGCUAAAUUCAAGCAGUGUCAUUUUAGGUGCAGAUAUGUUGUUGGUGAUGGGGUAUGAGAGGGUGGCGAUGGGUAAUAUGUGCAUGGUUUAAAAAGAAAAAUUAAGCGUCUUGCCCUGUGGCCUGUUGUUCCAACCACCUGGGGGGUUAGGGAGUGGUGGGGGGGCGGGCGUCUGAGGCAGGAUUACUUAAGCCCAGGUGUUUGAGCCUUUGAAUAACCAUUGCAUUCAGCCUGGGCAACAUAAUGAAACCCUUUCUCUUAAACCAAAACAAUCAAACAUCCAACAGGCUUACAAUAAUGAAAAACAGAUUUAUUUUAAGAUUAAUAGGGGAGAAAUUGGCACUGUGUUUUCUACAGUUCUUUUAUUUAUAGUGCUGUGGAUUUUGUGAUUUUUUAUUGAUUGACUGAUUGAGACAGGCUUUGUUGCCCAGACUGGAGUGCAGUAGCUCAAUCAUGGCUCAAUGCAGCCUUAACCUCACUUUUUGUAGACACUGGGUUUCACUAUGUUACCAAGGCUGGUCUUGAACUCCUGGGCUCAAGUGAUCCACUUGCCUUGGCCUCCCAAAGUGCUGGGAUUGCAGGUGUGAGCUACCGUACCUGGCCUCUUCUGACCUCUAUUUUAGGGCACCAUGGAUGCCAUUAUAUGUGGGUCCUAUUAAACACUCAGGCUAUGAAAAUUGCACUAUUUAAAAAUACAUUGCUUGCACAUAUGGGAUUUUUAGUACAAAAUCCAAGAAAAUAUGGCUUGAGGGGGUAAUUUGUAGUUUACUGGGGAAGAGCCUUCUUAUAUUUUCAGCUGAUCCCAGAUGAUUCCCCAUUCUAAUCCUGUGGCUGGAACAAUGCUGAGCACAUAGUAAGUGCUUUAUAAGUGUUGAUUCACUGAUAGAUUACAGAAGGUGCUGAACUACCCAAACUUUUGACUCUGACUUCUACCUAGAAGUGCUUGUCCUGUAGAGGAAAGCUGAGAUCCUGUAUUAAUGUAUCCUAUAGAGCAACAGUUUAUCAAGUCUGCCUACCUGCUAUUUUAAGUAUUAAAACUGCAACAAUCAGUGCUUUGGAAUGAUUUAUAAGUAUAUAAUUUGUACAUUAAUAUUUUUAGGCAUAGAUUUUAAUUCAAUAUACUUUGUGUUAAGUUCAGUUCAAAGAGAAUUUUUGUGAACUUACUGUGUGCUUCACUAACUUCUGAGGGCACAAUGAUGAGUAUGACACAAUCCCUGCUUUAACUUAAUCAGGAUGAUGCUCUCUCUCUCUCUGUAUUAUAAAUAUGGCAAACAAAGCCUAUCUAAUCUUAGUCCAUUGUUGAAAUGAGGUUGGGAGAUAUGUCUUGCAAAAUUCUUACCUUAGAUUAAAAAAACCCACAAAGUCUUUAAUCAUAUGUCUGAGCCCAAAACAAUAUUCCCAGUAGGCCUUAUGGAAUUGGGUAAAGGAUUCAACAAUAAGGGAAGCAAUGUUUCAGAGGGCAGAAGUGAGGUGCAUGUUGGUUUAUGGAACAUGAAGGGAACAGCAGGAAGCAGAUAUUAAUCUAACGACACCAUUCCACAUACACAGCCUGGAAGGAGUCUCCCUGACUAGGGAGUGGCGUCGCAGGGCUCCCCCAUCUACUGGUAAGUCAAAUGUGCUCGUCAAGGGUGGUCUAUUGUCUUCUUUUUUCUGUAGUGUGCACCAGCACCCUUCCACUCACCACCCAGUUCUCCCUGUACUUUUGUUUUGCUUUGCCUGGCUCAAUUCAGGGCUUUGUAAUAUAAUGUCUAGAGGUUUAGUUUUGUCACUAUAGAAAUCAAAUGAGCCUAGAGGUUAUUUGGUUUUAAUUAUCAUUCACGAAACAAUCAAUGUAGAGGAUUUACUCAUUCAAAUGGUUACUGGAGGGACAUUUAGGUAAUUGCAACUGUUGAAUGUUCUCUCUUCUGCUAAUUGUUUUUAUUGAACAAGAUUUAUAUCUAGGUAUUGAAGAGAAGUUGUAGCUGUGAGUAUCGCAGGCCAACAUUUUGGAAGGAAGUGGUGGGAAGGAGAUCUGGGCCCUAAGCUUGGCUUUGCUUUUCACUCUUUUUAAAAAAUUUUUAUUUUUUUGAGACAAAGUCUUAUUGACACCCAGGCUGCAGUGCAAUGGCAUGAUUUUGGCUCACUGCAACCUCUGCCUCCUGGGUUCAAGUGAUUCUCCUGAGUAGCUGGGAUUACAAGUGCCCACCACCCCACUCAGCUAAUUUUUAUUUUUUAAUUUUUAGUAGAGAUGGGGGGUUUUCAUCAUGUUGGCCAGGCUGGUCUCUAACUCCUGACUGCAAGUAAUCUGCCCGCCUCAGCCUCUCGAAGUGCUGAAAUUACAGGCAUGAGCCACCACACCCAGCCUUCACUUUUUUGUAAAUACCUCACUUCUAGGUUUUCAAAAUGUCAUGUAAGUAUAUAGUCUAAUGUCUGUCCUCACAAACAUGUACAUUUAUUUGGCCAUGUUUCUGUGCUUAGUUGCUGUAAUAGACACUUUUAAAAAUUAUUUAUUUAUUUAUUUUUGUUCUUUCUCUUUAGGGCUGAACAACAUAACAGACAUUUUUCAGAUUAUAUAAAAUAAUAUGCACUGCCGUAAAUGAUAUUUUCUGAGUGUAGUGUUUUGAUUGGCUUUUCAAUUUCUUAUGUAAGCACCUAAGGUUACCACUCUAUGUCAUACUCCUCAGGAUGAAAAACAUUUUGUCUACCCACCUAGUUUCAGUGAAUGAGGACUGCAGAUUUAACUGACUAAAGACAGAGUAACAGGAAAAAAGAUAUGAUUUUUAUUGAUAUUAAUAUACUUUUAAAUGCAGUUGGGCACAGUGGCUCACGCCUGUAAUCAUAGCACUUUGGGAGGCUGAGGCGGGUAGGUCACCUGAGGUUAGGAGUUGGAGACCAGCCUGGCCAACAUGGUGAAACCCCGUCUCUAAUAAAAAUACAAAAAUUAGCUGGAUGUGGUAGUGGGUGCCGGUAAUCCCAGCUACUGAGGAGGCUGAGGCAGGAGAAUUGCUUGAAUCCAGGAGGUGGAGUUGCAGUGAGCCAAAAUCACUCCAUUGCACUGCAGCCUGAGCAACAAGAGCAAGACUGUCUUAAAAACAAAAAGCAAAAACUUUUAAGUGCAUGGGAGCUUCACAGAGAUGAUGUGAAAACUCAAAGAUGUGCUCUGAACCUGGAUUUUUUUUUUUAGAUGGAGUUUCACUCUGUCUCCCAGACUGGAGUGCAGUGGUGUAAUCUCAGCUCACUGCAGCCUCUGCCUCCCAGGUUCAAGCAAUUCUCCUGUCUCAGUCUCCCAAGUAGGUGAGACUAAAGGCAUGUGACACCAUGCCCUACUAAUUUUUGUAUUUUUUUAUUUUAGUAGAGUUGGGGUUUUACCAUGUUGGCCAGACUGGUCUCAAACUCCUGACCUCAAGGGAUCCACCCACUGCAAGAUUCUUUGAACUGACGGCACCAUGGACUACACCAUAGUCAGGCCACAGUGACCCCUGUGACCCACAUAUACACCUCCAGAUGGCCUCCCAGAGCCAGAAAGUCUGAGAUAAUAAGAAAACCACAAAAGGAGAGGGAUAGCUAGCUUCUGCCUUGCCUGAUUAACCAACCUUGUGACAUUCUACCAUUGUUCUGCCUCAACUGAUAAGUCGACCUUGUGACACUGGACCCUGUGGUCUGAUUAACCAAUCUUGUGACAUUGUACCAUUGUUUCUGCCUCAACUGAUAAAUCAAACUUGUGACACUGGACCCUGUUACACCCCCACCCCUGCUUGCAAAAAACCGCCCUAAACUGUAACUUUCCAUUACCUGCCCCCAACCUAUACAACCAGCUCUUGUUCCGCCACCCUCUACUGACUCAGCCCACUCACACCCGGGUGAAUAAAUAGCCUUAAUGCUCACAAAAAGCCUGUUUAGGUGGUCUCUUCAUUCAGAGCGCACUUAACAUUUGGUGCCAAAACCUGGGACAGGGUACUCUUUUGGGAGACCAGCCCUCUGUUCCUGCGUUCCCUCUGUGAAGAGACCCACCUGCAACCUCAGCACAUCAGACAAGCCCAACAACCCUCUUACCACCUUCAGAUUGGGUAAGCAGCCUCUCCCUCUCUCUCUUUUCCUUUUAAUCCUUCUCCUUCUAGAGACACAGGAGACACUCUUUGUCCAUGUGCUCAAAAAUCCAGUGUUGGUCAUGGACUCGGGAAGACAGACUUCCCUUGGUGUCUGGUCAAUAGCAGGGACGCCUGCUUUGAUCACAUUACAACCUAGAACUCAGUCAGGGACGCCUACUGAAAACCCUGCUAGCUGCUCUCAUUCUCCUUGUCUCUACUUCUUAAAACUUACUUCCUUCACUAUGGGAAAUAUUCUGUCCUCUAUUCCUCAGUCUUCAUUUCUAGCCUGCAUCCUAAGAAACCUAAAACCUCUUCAACUGUUGCUUGAUCUGAAACCUAAACAACUCAUUUUUUUCUGCAAUACAGCCAAUACAAAUUAGACAAUGGUUCCAAAUGGCUAGAAAAUGGCACUUUCAAUUUUUCUAUUCUGCGGGACCUAGACAAUUUUUGUUGACAAAUGGACAAAUGGUCUAAAGUGCCAUAUGUCCAGGCAUUUUUUACACUUAGAUCCCUCCCUAAUCUCUGCUCUGAAUGUGACCCAUCCCAAAUUUUCCUUCUCUCCCUUCCAUCUGCGCCUCCUGUCUCCACCAGUGACUCAGAAUCCUCCUUGUCCAUUAACCCUUUCAACCUUUCUCUUCUCCGCCUGUCUGAAUCAGGCGCUAAUCAAGUCCCUUAAACCACCCCUCUCUCUGACAGAGCCUUCUUUCUCUUCCUCUGCCCACAACCCACUUCCUUAUGCCUCUCCUGUCACCUCCCUACCUCAUACCCGUCUGGAUUACAGUUUAGUCUGGUGGCUAACUCCUUCACCCCUGCCCAACAAUUUCCCCUUUGAGAGGUGGCUGGAGCCAAAUACAUUUUUAGGUGCACGUUCCUUUCUUUUUAUCUGACCUUUCCCAAAUCGGCCAAUGGUUAGGCUCCUUUUCAUCAGAUCCUACUAAAUGUAUACAAAAAUUUCAAUACUUAACCCAGUAUUUUUUUUUUUGAGACGAAGUUUUGUUCUUGUUGCCCAGGUUGGAGUGCAGUGGCAUGAUCUUGGCUCACUGCAACCUCCGCCUCACAGGCUCAAGUGAUUCUCCUGCCUCUGCCCCCCAAGUAGCUAGGAUUACAGGCGUGCACCACCAUGCCUGGCUAAUUUUGUAUUUUUAGUAGAGACGGGGUUUCGCCAUAUUGGCCAGGUUGUUUUCGAACUCUUGACCUCAGAUGAUCCACCCGCCUUGUCCUCCCAAAAUGCUGGGAUUACAGGCAUGAGCCACCGCACCCGGCCUUAACCCAGUUUUAUAAUCUCACCUGGAGUAACUUAAAUGUCAUCCUUACUUCUCUCACUCCUGAAAAACGCUUAAUAUGCAUUUUAUCACUCAAUCAGCCCCUGACAUGACAAAAAGCUACAUAAAUUAGAAUCUGGCCCUCAAACCCCUCAACAGGAAUUAAUCAACUUGUCUUCAAGGUAUUCAAUAAUAGGGAAGAAGCUGCCUGGCGGCAGUGCAUCUCAGAACUACAGAUGCUUGCCUGUGCCAUAAGACACAUCCCAGCCACACCACUGGCUCACAAAUACUUCAAAAUGCCCAGGCUGCAGUGUCCAGCCGCCCCUCUCAGAUCUUGCUUCAAGUGUCAGAAACCUGGCCACUGGGCCAAGGAAUGCCUGCAGCCCAGGAUUUCUCCUAAGCCCUGUGUGGGGGCCCCACGGAAAGUCAGACUGUCUGACUCAUGUUGCUGCUCCCAGAGCUCCUGGGACUGAAUCCUUCCCAGAUCUCCUCGGCUUGCCAGCUAAAGACUGACGCUGCCCGAGCAUCUCAGAGGCCCCCUAGACCAUCACACAGACGCCGAGCUUCGGGUAACUCUUACAGUGGAGGGUAAGUCCAAUCCCUUCUUAGUCAAAAUGGAGGCCACCCACUCCAUGCUGCCUUCUUUUCAAGGACCGGUCUCCUUGGACUCUGUAACUGUUAUGGGAAUUGACAGCAAGGUUUUCAGGCCUCUCAAAGCUCCCUAAGUCUGGUGUCAACUAGGCCAGCACUUCUUUCCACAUUCUUUCCUAAUCACCCCGACUUGUUCAGUUCCCCUGUUAGGCCAAGAUAUCCUAACAAAAUUGUCUGUCUCCUUAACUAUUCCUGGGCUACAGCCACACCUUAUUGCUGCCCUCGUCCCCGAACCCAUACCUCCCUCAAUAGCUCCCCUAUGUCCUCUUACCUUAACCCUGGGGUGUGGAACACCGCCUCCCCAUCCCUUGCUACAAGUCAGUUACCCCUCAUCAUCCCCCUGAAACCUAACCACCCUUAUCCGACUCAGCACCAGUACCCCAUCCCAGCACAAGCCUUGAAAGGCCUAAAGCCUGUUACUACUCGCUUACUACAACAAGGCCUUUUAGUUCCCACGAACUCUCUCUACAACACCCCCAUCCUACCUGUCCAACAACUGGACAAGUCCUACAGGCUAGUCCAAGACCUUUGCCUUAUUAAUCAGAUAAUGCUCCCUAUCCAUCCUGUAGUGCCAAACCCCUAUAGUCUCCCCAACUUCUCUGAAACUUACCCGAAUUCCUGAGGAAACUUAAAUGCCCUGCUCCUGUCUAUCUUGCCACUUCUCCCUCUUCCUCCAUUCUGUGUGCCAAGACAUUUCCUGGUUCCACUCCUAGGCUGCCACCCUUAACUCUCUUCUAAAGUGAAUAAAUAACCUUCUUUCCCAAGGUACCCUGUGUAACUUCUCCCCUGAUAAAGUAUAACUGUUUACUUUCUUCCUCAUUCUUUGUCUGCCUAUUCCUCCUGCUCCCAUGGCUGCUUCACAUAAUUGCACCUCCCCUUCCUAUUAUUCCCAACUGUCUCUACAAAACCCUUAAUCCAUUCUUUGCUAAACCAAUCCAACCCAACCCUAGCAAAAGGUUGCUGGCUUUGCAUCUCUCUAUCAGCUACAACUUAUAGUGCCACUCCCAUCCCUGCAAAGUCUUGGGUUCUUACUCGCCUAACCUAUCUCCCUUGCUAUGAAGGAAAAAGCCCCUUCAACUUUUAAACAUGCAGUCACUAGCCGAGUUUUCCAUCACUAACACGACCAAACGGGACGUGCAGUACAGCUUCUGUGCUCCUACAUUUCCAUCCUCACUCCAUAUACUGGUAAUAACAAACCCAUACAUGGUUCUGUGACCACAAAUACUAAUUUAACUUUUCAGGCUCCUUUAUGCUUCCAAUGCAAUCCAUCCUCAGGCUUACCUCUUGGCCACCUACUGCCGCAUCAAUGCAACUUUAUCUUACCACUCCAAGCCCCAACCAUCAAAACUUUCUAGUCACUCAAACUGCUUCAUUUAGCCCACCUGUCUGCUUUGCAGGACUCCGAAAAGUCAAUACCACCUCUCUGCUUAACAGACAAUCAGGGUUUUGUGUUGGUAGACAUACCCCUUGCACAACUAUUCAGCCCUGGACCCCUUGUAACACAGCUCCCACAACCAAUGAAUGCCUUCUUAUACCCACUUUUAAUCACUCCUCUGAAUGGCUUCUAGUAGAUACAAAAUGGUAACUCCUCUGGUGGAAAAACAAAACAAAUGGAGCCGUUCACAUUACCCCAACAACCACUUUCCAGCCACUCACUGGACCCUAGGCAUGUAGGAACAUGAAAAUAAUAAACUCACACACCUCUUCAAUAUACACAACCAGUUCUGCUCACCCAGCCAAGGAAUAUUUUUCUUGUUCAGAACCUCAACUUACCUCUACACUCCACUAACUGGACCAGCACCUACACCCUACUGUUUCAAAGCCCCAAAAUAGACAUUGCCCCAGGGAACCAAAUUUUACCAGUCCCCAUUAAAUCCCAGGUCUGUCAGCGCAGAGCUGUGCAGCUAAUACCCCUGCUAAUAGGACUAGGAAUUGCCACUGCUACAGGGACAGGAAUAGCAGGGCUGUCCAUAUUACAUACCAUCAACCUAACCCAUUCUCUCCUUUCAAACCCUUCCUUAGCCAGAGAUUGCUGGCUAUGCAUUUCCCUCUCCUCUUCCUCUUACACAGCCGUCCCUGCCCUAUCAGCUGACUGGGCAAACUCUCCCAUCUCUUCAUAUCUCUGGAUUUCCUUCAACAACCCCCCUGUGCCCCCCAGAAGAACUCCUCUACUUCCUAGAAAGAUUCAACAAAACAUCCCAGGUACCUCAUGCCAACAGGCUGCUGCUUUUCUUUGCACCUACCUAUGUAAUCUUUCCCCUUGUGUCAACUCCACACCCCCGUUUUUGGACCACUAACCACACAAACAACUAUCCCUAUUGCUGCUCCAUUAUGCAUUUCCCAGCAACCACCUAAUGGAUUUCCCCAGGAGACUUCCUACCCUCUUCGUGUUCCUUUACACUUCACCUCCAAGGCCCUGUCACCCACGUUAACCAAGAAAUAGGAACAUACCAGCUUUGCAUUAUGAAAAGGGCCUCCCUCAUUACUAGCACUCUUAAGAAUGCCAAUAGCAAGUUUUGCCUAGGUAGGCAUUUACCCUGUCUCUCACUCCUUCCUUGGCUGCUCUCCCCUUGUUCAUCAGACUGUCCUCCAGACCCUCUUCCUGCCUGCUCACACCUAACCUUGUCAAUGAAAGUGAACAGUUACUCAUAGAUACCAAAUGCUUUCUCAUAUACCAUGAAAGCAAGACCUCUCCUUUCACAUAAUUACCCUACCAAACCCCACUGCAACCUCUAACAGCCAUGGCCCUUGCUGGUUCCCUUGGUAUCUGGGUAUAAGACCCCAGCCCCCACAAAACACUUUCUUACCUUUCCAGUUUACAUUUCCAGUUCUGCUUAAGCCAAGGACUUUUUUUUUUUAACCUCUGUGGCUCUUCCACCUACAUCUGCUUUAUGACUAACUGGACAGACAGCUUUACCUUAAUAUUUCUUACUCCCAAAAUCCAGUUUGUCAAUGGAAAUGAACACCUCCCUGUCCCCCUUGUAACUUCUACACAACAAAAAAAAGAGUCAUUCCAUUCAUCUCCUUGCUUGUAGGAUUAGGAGUCUUCACUGCUGCAAUCGGGACAGGUAUGGCCGAACUUACUCCUUCCAUCACCACAUUCCACAAUCUCUAAUGAUUUCUCUGCCAGCAUUACUCAAACACUAUCUGUCCUCCAAGCCCAAGUUAAUUCCCUGGCUGUGGUUGUCCUACAAAAUCACCAAGUCCUCCAUCUACUAACUGCUAAGAAAGGAGUACUCUGCCUAUUCCUAAAUGAAAAAUGCUUUUAUCUAAACCAAUUUGGCCUUGUAUAUGAUGCCAUCAAAAGACUUAAAGACAGGACCCAAAAGCUCGCUAAUCAGGCAAACGAUUAUUCUGGACCUAGCUGGCCACUCUCUAACUGGAUAUCAUGGCUCCUUCAUUAGCAGACCCCUUAAUAGCUACCUUUUCCUUCUCUUAUUUGGAUCUUGUCUUUUCCAACUAAUCUCUCAAUUCCUACAAAAUUGUAUCCAAGCUAUAACCAAUCAGUCAAUCCAGCUAAUGCUCCUUCUAACAACCCCACAAUAUCACCCCUUGCCCCAAAAUCUCUUGGCCCAUUUUAAGUUUCCACGCUGCCCCCAAUCCUGCCCUAAGAAGCCCUGAGAAAUGUCAUCCAUCACCCCUCUGUACUGCCCCCCAAAUUUCACUAACUCCCUGCUUUUUCUAGUUUUUACUUUUUUACCUUUAUAUUAUUAAUAUAAAAAGGCAGGAAUGCAAGCUUCUUUGAACUGACUGCACCAUGGACUACACCAUAGUCAAGCCGCGGUGACCCCUGUGACCCACAUGUACACCUCCAGAUGGCCUCCUGGAGCCAGAAAAUCUGAGAUAACAAGAAAACCACAAAAGGAGAAGAAUAGCUAGCUCCUGCGGUGCCCGAUUAACCAACCUUGGGACAGUCCAUAAUUGUUCUGCCUCAACUGAUAAGUCGACCUUGUGACACUGGACCCUGUGGCCUGAUUAACUGACUUUGUGACAUUCUACCAUUGUUCCUGCCUCAACUGAUAAGUCAACCUUGUGACACUGGAUCCUGUGACCCUCCCUACCCCUGCUCCCUGCCAUGCUUGCACAAAACCACCCUAAACUGACUUUCCAUUACUUACUCCCAACCCUAUAAAACAAGCAACUAUCCUGCCACCCUCUGCUGACUCAGUCCACUCACACCUGGGUGAAUAAACAGCCUUGUUGCUCACACAAAGCCUAUUUAGGUGAUCUCUCAUUCAGAGUGUGCUUAACACCUGCCUCAGCCUCCCAAAGUGCUGGGAUUACAGGUGUGAGCCACUACACCUGGCCAGAACCUGGAAUUUACAUACCCUUCUUAACAAAAGAAGAAGGGUUUGGCCUUCAAGGGACAAAUAUUGUGGGAAGUGACUAGAAAAUAUGUGAAGGAAACUAAUGGAAGAUAAGGGUUAUUUUAGUAGGGCUUGUUUAUGAGGAGUCAUCUUGGUGUGACAUCUCUGGUAAUGAGUCAUUUUCAUUUUCCUGACACAGAGGGGUACCUUCCUUAAAGGAAAAUUUAUGCUCUGUUUUUAGGGAGAUAAAGGGAGGGCAGAGAACUUUUCCUGCAUCAAUUGCCUUCAGCUCAAAAUAAUCUUUAUGCCAAAGUGACAUAUUUUGGGAUACAUAUACUGAUCUCUUUCAGUACACCUCCCCAUUUUCAAAAAGAAAGAAAUGGAGGUCUAGAAAGGUUAAAGGAUGUACCUCUAGUCACAUGACAUAUUAGUGGUUUAGCUGGAACCAGAAUCCCAAUCUUCUGAUUAUGAGUCUUAUAGUUACUUUUAUCGUCUGAAGGUCAGGACCCAACAGAUGCUUUGGUUGGCAACAGAAGUGUAAUUCAGGGUAUAUAGCCUUUAGUAACCAAUUCCUCCCAAACAAAUGGGUGUUUACAUUUUCAGUCUCAAUGAAGGUUAAAUUUUAGCAUGUAACUACAUUGAAGAAGGUUAUGUACAUGUUCUCCUUUUUCUUUAUUAAGGAAAUGUACACACACACACACACACACACACACACACACAAACAAAGAAAAAAACAAAACCCUUUAUAAUCCUAUGACUCUGAAAUAAUGCAAUUCCCACUGAAAUAGUUAUUUUGAGUUAUCUUUGAAAGGAAUUUUUUACUGGCUCAGUUAUUUGUUCCCAGAUAAUUAUACCUCUUUCUCUACUUUUCAAGUAAUUUAGUAUCUUUUUUUCUGGAUAUGAAAGUUCUAAGUGCUGUUUAUUAACAUUUCAAACAUUACAGAUAUGUACAACAUGGAUAUUAACAAUAUACUGUGUCUACCACCCUCAGAGAUAAUCACUACCAAUUACUUAAUGUAUGUCUCUCCAGGUUUUUUCUUCUAUGUACAUACUAAAAAAUAUUCUUUUUUUCACAAAAAAUGGGAUCACGUUAUUGAUACUGUUUUUUAAAAUUUGAAGUAAGAUCUGUACAACAUAAAAUGUAUUAUUUUAGCCAUUUUAAACUGUACAAUUCAGUGGUUUUUUAGUAUAGUUACAAUGUUAUGCAACUAAUGACCACUAUUUAAUUCCAGAAUAUUUUUGUCACCCCAUUAACACCACCAUGCCAUAUUCAUACAGCUUUGCAUUUUGCUUUCUUACUUUAUGCAUCCUUCUAUUUUAAGAUAUGUCAUAUACUAUUUCAUAGCAUUUCUGUAGCAUUUCAUUAUAAGCACCAUAGUUAUUUAAACACCCUCAAUUAAUGGGCAGUUGGGUUAUUCCACCUGGCAUACAGGUUUUUUUUUUUUUUUUUUUUUUGUAGAGAUGGGGUUUCUCCAUGUUGCCCAUGUCACCCAGGCUGGUCUCAACUCAAGGAAUCCACCUGCCUCAUCCCCCGAAAAGUGCUGGGAUUACAGGUGUGAGCCACUGUGCCUGGCCUAUUCUAGGUUUUUAAAGUAUUAUAAGCAGGGUGGGUUCAGUGGCUCACACCUGUAGUCCUAGCACUUUGGGAGGUGAAGGCAAGUGGAUCACCUGAGGUCAGGGGUUCGAGACCAGCCUGGCCAACAUCGUGGAACCUUGUCUCUACUAAUAAUACAAAAAAUUAGCCAGGUGCGAUGGUGGGCGUCUAUAAUCUCAGCUACUUGGGAGGCUGAGGCAAGAGAAUCACUUGAACCUGGGAGGCUGAGGUUGCAGUGAGCCAAAACCAUGCUAUUGUACUCCAGCCUGGGUGACAGAGUGAGAGUCCAUCUAAAAAAAAAAUUAUGAACAAUCUAUACUAAAUAUCAAGCAUCGCACUUUUGUGAGAUAAAUUAUUAGAAAUAAAAAUGUUGAGUCAAAGGGCAUGAACAUUAAAAAUGCAAUAAAAAUUGUUUUGUUUCUCUCCAAAAAAGUUGUACUAAUUAACAAUCCCAGUGAGGGUAUUUCCCGGUUUGUGUUUUCCAGUCCUCUUGUCAGCCCUGAAUAUUAUCCAUUAUAAAGUCUUUUCCAAUCUGAUAGAGAUAAUCACCUUAUUGUUUUAGUGUUUGAUUAAUUAUAAGGGAGGUUGGGCAUCUCUUAAC